rnacentral:misc_RNA from 1 species
AGGAACUAGAGAGUGCUGGUGAAGUGAGUUAUUACUGGACCUUUGCUUUGUAUGUCAUCGUCAAAUUGUGGUGAUGGUUUGUGUUUUGUAUAUGUGAAUUAGUAUUUCAAUUAUGCAUGAUAGGGAUGGAGGACUGACACCAUAGGAAGUAUAUAAGUGUGUUGUGAAAAAAGUAAUCCACAUUAUUCCAAGUCUUUCAUAAGAUGA